AUUGAACGCUGGCGGCAGGCUUAACACAUGCAAGUCGAACGGUAACAGGAAGCUGUUUGCUGCUUUGCUGACGAGUGGCGGAUGGGUGAGUAAUGUCUGGGCAACUGCUCGAUGGAGGGGGAUAACUACUGGAUACGGUUGCUAAUACCGCAUAGCGUCGCAUGACUAAAGAGGGGGGCCUUAGGGCCUCUUGCCAUCGGAUGUGCCCCGCUGGGCUUAGCUUGUAGGUGGGGUAACGGCUCACCUAGGCGGCGAUGCCUAGCUGGUGUGAGGGGACGAACAGCCACACUGGAACAGAGACACGCUCCAGAGGCCUACGGGACGCAGCAGUGGGGAAUAGUGGACAAUGGGCGCAAGCCUGAUGCAGCCAUGCCGCGUGUGUGAAAAAGGCGUACGGGUUGUAAAGUAGUUUCAGCGGUGAGGAAGGGAGUAAAGUUAAUACCUAUGCUCAGUGACGUUACCCGGAAAAGAAGCACCGGCUAACUCCGUG
rnacentral:rRNA from 1 species